ACUACUCUCGAGUAAUCUGUCCGCUGAGCCUCCGAAGCAUUGCUUUCUUAUUCAAUUCCGCUCCUUCUGACGCUCUCCUCUCGCCAUCUGCCCGCCUACCAGAUGGCCGGGAAAUUCGACCACCCCGACAAAGUGCCACAUGGAUGCUGCUGCGGCACCUCAACUUUUCCCGGGAACUAGGGCUGAGCUGUGUCUUCUCGAUCCUCCAUUCGUACGGGACGGAGAAUUUUUGAGGUAGGUGUACAGUUCUGCAUACUAUACUGUUGCGCAAAGAGGGGGCAACACCUCUCAACCUCUAACGUGUGGAAGAAGAGAAAGAGAAAAAGAGAUCACGCGGAGCAACAAGACAAAGAUGCACAAAAGGAAAGCAAACACGAGAAAGGAGAAGAAGAAGAGAAAGAAGAAGAGUUACUGUGGUUCAGCGACGUGCCUACUCCACAAAAGUGGCCGAAGCUUUAUUAGAAUUCUCUCUACACAAAAGAAUUACAUUAAAUAAUUCUUGUGAUUGUUGUUGUUAUACAAUAGGUUUACAAUGAUCUUUAAAAAUAAUACAUAAACCUCAGACUCGGUAAAAUUGUAACAGAAUUUUAUUAUGAAAAAUCGCAACAGAAUUUUAUUAUGAAAACCCAUAAUAGAAUUUUGUUAUAUAAAAUCGUAACAGAAUUUUAUUACGAAAAAUCUUAACAGAUUUUUCUUUCAUAGCAUCCAUCGCAUUGGCAUUCAUCUAAAUAUGAGUCACUCGUCAACAAUCUCCACCUUAACGAAUAUUCACCCCUUCAAAGAACAGAGUAUCUGAAUAAAGUCUCAUUUGGAUUUCUGGGCCUGGGCUCCCUUCCUCUAACAUCUAGAGAUAUGGAUUAAGUUCAAGCAAAACUUCUCUGUGGUUAUUGGCUUUGUCAGCAUGUCUAUAACAUUGUCUGCAGUGUGAACCUUCUCAAGUUGAAUUUCCCUGAAAGCAAUCAACUCUCUGAUCUUGUGAAACCUCACAUCAAUGUGUUUGGUUUUCGCAUGAUACACCUGAUUCUUCGUCCAAUAGAUAACACUCUGACUAUCGCAUAACAACUUGACUCCAUAUUGCUGAACACCCAAUUCUCUGACCAACUUGUAAGCCAUAAAGCUUCCUUCGCUGCUUCAACUACUGCCAUGUACUCCGACUCCGUAGUAGACAAUGCAACAAUAGAUUGUAUCAUAGAUUUCCAACAAAUAGGUUCUCCUGCCACAGUGAACAUGUAUCUUGUAGUAGACCUCCUGUUAUCUAAAUCUCUUGCAUAGUCCGCAUCUACGUACCCAGCAACUGAAGCAUC